rnacentral:misc_RNA from 1 species
CGGGCUUUCGAAUGAGUUAUUUAUUCUCCCUGUUCUUUUUGUUGUCUUCUUCCUUUUAUUUACUUUUGAACUCAAAACAUUCGUCCCAAUUCUACCUACUUCCAGCACUUUUUUCGUUAAAUGGAGCUUCCCUUCGGAAUAUGUCUGAAUUUUCUCACCUGCACUCUGUAAGAAUUGACGUGGAGAGUGAAACAAUCUGGUCCAAAUCGGUCACAUUUACAGAAGAUUACCUCAAACAUAACAUUUAUUUUUCUCUUACAAAGCUUUUUGGAGAUGUAGGCUCUGGUUUUGCAUUUGAUGUCAAGAACUUAGACUUGAAAAAACGGAUUUUUACUUUAGAGACAAAUCAUCUUAAGGAAGUACGUUCCGCACUUACUCUUUCAAAUACCUUUCAAGGAGUUCAGAUCUCUUACGUCUUCAUAUAACUUGUAAUCUUUCCCUAAAACACAAUGGCUCGAAAUUCUGAGAAAGCCAUGACGGCUCUCGCCCGUUGGAGAAAUGCGAAACUAGCUGAAGAGGGAUCGGAUCUUGCUAAAAAGAAUGAUCGUCGACCUUAUCUUGCAUCUCAUUGCCACGAUUUAAAGGAUGCAGAGAGGUGGCGAAUUCAAGUGAUUCGUGAGAUAUCUCGUAAAGUGUCCCAAAUUCAGAAUGCGGGACUUGGUGAAUACAAAAUAAGAGACUUGAAUGAUCAAAUUAAUAAACUUCUCAGGGAGAAAACGCAUUGGGAAUGGCGUAUUAUUGAAUUAGGCGGUAAGGACUUUAGAAGAAAGUCUCGAAUGUUGGAUCUCGAGGGUAAAGAAGUGCCCGGUUCUUCGGGAUAUAAAUAUUUUGGGGCUGCUAGAGAUUUACCAGGUGUUAGAGAACUCUUCGACACUGAUGCUCCACCCCCUCCUAAAAAAUCCCGUGCCGAACUAAUGAAAGACAUUGAUGCUAAUUAUUACGGCUUUAGGGAUGAUGAUGAUGGUAUAAUUGUUCCAUUAGAAAUUGAGGUUGAGGAACGCGCAAUUGAACAAGCUGUAUUGGAUUGGAAAGAAAACAAGAUACCUGAUGAAGAAAGUGAUCUUUUGACAAUGCCUCCAGAAAUGAGCCAUGAUGCUAAAUUAGAGGAGGCAAUGGAUGAAGGGAAAGAAGGAAAAAGAUUUGUUUCUCAUGUAGCUAUUCCUACUCAAAAAGAUGUCGAAGAGGCUCUUCUUAGAAGAAAGAAACAAGAACUUCUAGAUAUGCUGCAAUUAGAUAAUGUUAGUGUUGAUGACAUUAAAAAAGAUGAUUCAACAUAAUUUAAAUUUGAAUGUAAUACCCUAUUUAGUGAAGGAGCAUUUCUUACAUUCCAAAUUUUAAAGAUACUAAAAUGAAUUUACUAUCGGCAUUGCCGUGAUGAUUUAUCUGACUGGUCGUGUCAGGUUCAAUGUUAUUUCAAUUCACCGUUCUCUGGUUAUGAUCGUUUGGCAAAAUAAAAAAUGACACUCCUUUUUCGAAACACUCACUUAUCAAAUUAUUUGCAAUAAUAUGUUAGAUCACAGAUUUUUCCAUGGAUAGACAAUAAACAUUUGUAGGAACAUAAAGAAUAACUAAAUAUGUUGGUCAAUUGGAAGAUAUCGAUAAAAUUUAAUGUGAAUAUAAUAUUCAGUCUUAAUUAUACAUUUAAUAAUAUUUGGGAUAUUUUGAAUUGUUUGAAUAAUGAGCCAGAUGUAACAGCAAUACUUUCCAAAAUGUUUAUGUUCUUGCUAAGGGAUCUUAAACUUACAUAACAGGGCCGUAAUUACUGAGGGGCGUGGAGUAUUUUUUUAAGUAUCUAUUAAUCUGUAAAUGGUAUUGGUGAGUUAUCCAGUCACCCCAAACAACCCCCUCUCACCCUAAUAAAAAAACCAUGAUUACGACACAGCACAAUAAUUAGCUCAAUAAGGUUAUUAUACAUUUUUUUGAUGUAGAAUCAAAUAUUGUUUUGUUUUAUUAAAUAAAUUAAAAUAUCAAGUGACUAAAAGAGUGUUAAAGAGUAUAUUUAUAUUAUUUAUCAAUGAUCAACCAGUUAGAACUGUAUUUAUUUUCAUUAAAGACACCAAAGCCAAGGGAAAUGAAUCGUUCCACGUCUUUUGGACUAAUAAUCCUGCUUCUAGUGACAAAUGUACUGGAAUCCAAUGUUAUAAAACGUCCGAAACGAUCAAGAAUUAUUGUCAAGUUGCCUCACAGGCUGUAUCAGUUGUACUUGGACUUGGAAAUGGUGGGGCUUGGAUUAGAUGAUUUCGAUGUCAUCUCACCAGAUUCAGUUAUAGGAGAUCGCCGUCCAAGGAUGUCAUGGAAGACAUUUAUGAAGAUACUUAGACAUGAGAUGGACACUAUUAUAACCUUCCCCGUAGUGGAAUAGUUUAUUUUAACAUAAUAUCAAUUACUUUUAUAAUGAUUAAUUAGCUAUGUUCAGAUUUAAAACUCAUAAUUCGAUGGGAGAGGUGACCUUGACAGCUGCCUUUGUAGCCCUUUUGACUGCUGCCUUUUCCGCAACAUUCUCUCGUUUCCCGUCAAUUUCUAGUAUUUCGGAGCGAAGUCCGUCAAUGAAUGGAUCAGGUAUAUAUCGUGACUCAGCAUGCUCUUCUAAAUGUUCAUAGAAUGCCACUUUUACUCCAGGUGGAGUUGCAGUCUUGAUCAUAUCCAAAAGAACCGGAGCCUCAUUGGACUUCAAAUUGAUGAUCUUAAAUAAAAUAAAUAAUGAUUAAUGAAACUAAAGAUAAUUAUGAGUAGACUAAAUAAAAUACCUGAACAUUA